AAAUUGAAGAGUUUGAUCAUGGCUCAGAUUGAACGCUGGCGGCAGGCCUAACACAUGCAAGUCGAGCGGAAACGAGUUAUCAAAGCCUUCGGGUGGCGAUAACGGCGUCGAGC
rnacentral:rRNA from 1 species